GUGGGGCGUUAGGGUUGUGACGCCGCUCGACCCCAAUCGACCUUGGGGUCGACCCAGCGCCAGCGCCGCCGCUCUCCUUCCAAAUCGCGACAGCGCCGCCACCCCCUCCAUCCUCCCGGCGCGACCCACCUCGGCCGGGCCCAAGCCGCGUGCGAUGAGCCCCGUUCCCCCGCCUCGGCCGGUCGCCCCCGCUUGUCGCCGAGCACGUGAAGCGGAGGCAGAGAGCCGAGAGCGAGGCGUCCGGCUCCGACGCCGUCAGGCGGGUGGGACAACACGGCGUCUCCUCGUGCUCCACCCGCUCGUCGUCUGCGCCGUGACCGGCCUCCUCCUGCGGGCGCUCGCGACCGCCCUCCUCGCUGCGCUCGGUUCCGAGGGGCGCUCGUGCAGAUGGAUUUGCUUUGAGUGCUGAAUCAACUGUCACGCGCCUCUUGCUGCUAGCUGCUUGGUCUCGGAUCUCAAGAGCUACCUCCGUGAUGGAGUUGUCGCCCCUGCCGCCUCUCGGUCUCGGAUCCCAUCGUCAGCAAGAGCGAAGCUUUCCUGCAGCAGUCUUGAUGGCCACCGGACCUCCGUCGCCAUUGGUAUUGCCUUCGGACCAAGCAGCCCCGAGUCCAUCACCUCGCCGCCACAAGGAGAAUUCUGAAAGCUUGGAUCCCACCCCUCUCCCAUCGCAUGGUGAUCCAUGGCAUAGAUGGAGUGGGGAAUACGAAGCUCAUUUGUGGGACAGUUCUUGCAGAGUAGAAGGGUGUACAAGAAAAGGGAAAUAAGAUGUGGAUAUCAAAGGAGGAGCACGAUAAGUCUUGCCCAGCAAUCGUCCACAGGAAGGAAGUGCUUCUGAGUUGCGCUGCCCUUUUCGUGUAGUCUCCUAUGUGUGGGUUUUUUUCAUGGGGGAGAGAGAUUGCAAGAUUAUGCUUGUGUUCUGCAGACGGUCCUUAUUGUGGCCACUUGUAUCUGUGGUUGCCCCAGUUACCUUUGUUCUGUACUAGUACUUCGUUGCUCUGUGACUAUGAGGUCACUUUGUGGAACUUGUGGUUGGCUUGAUUGGUUGUAACUUGUGGUCCUUAUUAUAUACUAGUUGUAUAUA